UGGACCAGUGAUGACCAUGGGUGGCGUAUGAGUCAUGGAUCAUGAGUACCUGUCUGGAAGUCUGAGGUUCAC